GAUGAACGCUGGCGGCGUGCCUAAUACAUGCAAGUCGAGCGAACAGACGAGGAGCUUGCUCCUCUGACGUUAGCGGCGGACGGGUGAGUAACACGUGGAUAACCUACCUAUAAGGCUUGGAUAACGUCGGGAAACCGGAGCUAAUACCGGAUAAUAUAUUGAACCGCAUGGUUCAAUAGUGAAAGACGGUUUUGCUGUCACUUAUGGCUGGAUCCGCGCUGCAUUAGCUAGUUGGUAAGGUAACGGCUUACCAAGGCAACGAUGCGUAGCCGACCUGAGAGGGGGACGGGCCACACUGGAACUGGGACACGGCCCUGACUCCUACGGGAGGCCGCAGUAGGGAAUCUUCGGCAAUGGGCGAAAGCUUGCCGGAGCAACGCCGCGUGAGUGAUGAAGGUCUUCGGAUCGUAAAACUCUGUUAUUAGGGAAGAACAAAUGUGUAAGUAACUAUGCACGUCUUGACGGUACCUAAUCAGAAAGCCACGGCUAACUACGUG
rnacentral:rRNA from 1 species